AUGGCGAGCUCGUCAUCCGAGGCGGCGCCGCCAGUCGCCGCCGGCGAGGAUCCAGCGGCGCCCGCAAAGGGACAAGAGAGGACGAAGAAGGAGAAGACGAGGGUGGUCUUGCCGCAGUUCCACCUGGACACGCUCAUGAGGGCCGAGGAAUUCCUGGAGCCUCUGCCGCCGCCGGACGAGGAGUUUCUUGCGCAGGUCCGGGAGCAGCGCGGACAGAAGGGCUUCGUCGAGAUAGAUCUCACCGACGACGAGGAGGAGGAGGAUGAGGAGGAGGAGGAGAAGGAGGGAGGAAACGCAGCUCCCCCGGCUGGAGGAAGGGGAUCUAUGGAGGAGGACAAGUUCAGCCCCGAGGUCACCAAGAAACCCAGCGACGGCGACGGCGGCGGCAGGAUUCGUCGGUUGAUUGGUAACUGA
rnacentral:rRNA from 1 species